rnacentral:misc_RNA from 1 species
GAUGAAGAACGCAGCGAAAUGCGAUAAGUAAUGUGAAUUGCAGAAUUCAGUGAAUCAUCGAAUCUUUGAACGCACCUUGCACCCUUUGGCAUUCCGAAGGGUAUGCUCGUUUGAGUGUCAUUGUACUCUCACACUUCCAAUCUUUGGAUUGGGGGCGGUGGACUUGGGUGUUGCUGCUUACUAUGGCUCACCUCAAAUUGAUUCGUGCACCUCUUGGUUGGACAUAGUACGGCGUGAUAAGUGUCUUCGCCGGCACCUCAGUAGAGGGUGGCUGAUCGGGAGCUCUGUGCUUCAAACCGUCCUCGGACAACAACUGACAACUUGACCUCAAAUCGAGUAGGACUACCCGCUGAACUUAAGCAAAUCAAUAAGCGGAGGA